AUUUAAUUAAGGAGUGUCUUUCGCCUGCAGCUCAAGUAGUGAUGUGAUGUUUUCUGCUCUUGAUGUUUCUGUCUCAGUGCUAUAUCAAUUUUUGAAAAGUCAAUUCUCUUACCUUUGACUUGAAUCCAAGCACAGGGUCGUGGAAUGGGAAUUUUGAUUAGCUUCUCUAAAGACAAUUCUAGAGUUUGCGAUAGAUGUGCGUAAUUUACUCUUUCCUGUCCUUUGGUCUGAUUCGGUUGAUAUUCUGAUUGAUCGAUCACGCAGUCUUCAUCAGUAUUAAGAUGUUGUCAUUUGUUAUCGAUUUUAUGUUACUUUGGUUUUACAACCCAAGGUAGUCUGUUGACGGACAAAAAUAAUUCAUACUUGCUGUUGCCUGACAUCGAACGUGAUGGGGGAAAUGACUUUAUUUCUUAGAAGUACCCCCUGCUUUGUGGGUUUUUUUUCCUGUUUCUAUAAUUAAGGCCACUUUCAUUGUUAGCAAAAGUCAUUGCAUUAACAUUCACAGAAUUCAAUUUUUAUCUAGUCCAAUAAAGCAUUCUUCAGCUUGGUUUAACAUAACUUCCAGUCCUUGCUCAAGGGCACAUCAUGCAACUGACAACCGUUUAAAUGACGUCUUAUUGACAUUAUGAGAGAAGCUACAAAGAUGUUAGGACAUGGACAUGAUAAUAAGUAGUGGCAAUCACUGUCUAGAGCUUUAAAAAAACCGUUAGUUUAGAACAGAUUUCAAAAGGAAAAUAGGAGGUAAGAAAAAAGAAGAAUGUGUAAGAGAUGAAAUACGGCUUGAUGUUUUUCUUUGGUUAUGGUUUUGUUUUCUUAUUUUAUUUUUCCAGCAAUGGGGAUCGUAUUGACCUGACCUCCCGCUAAUGUCCCAGUGGGGGUGAGUUAUCUUCCAGGAUGUUUGCGUCCAGAAAAAUCAGAUUGUGUUUCUGGGUCAGGUCUCAACGUUAUGUCAGAACGUUCGAGGGGCUAAUGAGUAUGACACUAGUUGCUUAAUUAGCCCUGCAAGUCCUGCGCAGUAUGGAACAUUAGUACGGUAUCCGUUACAAAAAUCCUGGUUGUUUUAUUGAUAACACAUGUUGUGCCUGUUUUUGAGAAUUAUGCUAAGAUCAAGGGGGAUAAAAACGUAUAAGUUAUGAUGGGAUGCGUGGUUUUUUCACUUUGAAGAACUUACCUGUUUUUAAUUCAGAAUUGUCUUGGUACAAAAGACCUUACGCGCUUCAAACUUCAUUAUAUUUAUGAUUAUUUCUUUCACUUUACGUUCGAUUAACAUCUCCAAAGUUGUUGGGUUUUUUAAAUUGGCUUUUAAAAGUAGAAUACAUACCUACCUAGGGAAUUGGACAUUGCGGAAAGGAAACUGUUCCUUUUCCUUUUUUUCUUCUUUUACGCUAUCUUGUCUUGUAUUUAAUCGAGCACAAAGAAUGCAGUUACAUGAUUGUGACUGAUGGCUUCGAUAAAUCCUUCCCUCCCCUGGAACUUUAGAGUUUCGAGUUGCUUGUGUGUGAAAAAGUUCAGGUGUGAACCUCGGGCCAGGGAAGGGAGCAGGUAGCUGAGCUCUCCCCCUCCACCUCCGCCCCCUCCACAUCUAUAAAGUUUACCCUCAUAGCUCAUUUAGCCCUCACGUCAGCUAUUUUUAGCUUCGACCUCCUCCCCUUUCCCAAAUGAAGCCGAGUGUGAGCAGACAGAAUACACCUCGCUCUAGUCUCUUCUCCUCUCACUUUAAUUUUCGACCACCUCGUGGAAGGGAUUUUUAACGUCUCCUCAUCCAACACAUGUGAGGAGAGGUUGCAAGAAAAACAUGUGGUGAACGGGACGUGAUCUCAGACCAGUAACUUUUCGUCUAAAACUUUUGGAAGAAGAAUCUUCCAAUUCCUUCCUUCGAGGCCUGUGAGGCUGAGGAUACAAGAUACUUAUAUCACCCCCCCCCCCCCCCCCCUCAUAAUUUGGACAUCGCGUGGGGUUACUGUGAGUGUGAGCGCUUGCGGGUCGAGAUAGAUACCGAGAGAGAGAGAAAGAGAGAGAGAGAGAGAGAGAGAGAAAGAGAGAGAGAGAGAGAGAGAGAGAGAAAGAGAGAGAGAGAGGGAGAGACUCGCAGUACCAUGUCCAUGGAUCCCAACCUUCCCCUCCACGAGGCCAUGGUGCUCGACGUUUGAAGUUGAUAAGUGUUUCCAGUACGUCUUCGAUAAUGAAUGGCGGGAUGCAGCCGGAAGUUUUGGAGAUAGUUCGGUAUUCUUCCGGAAGUAGUCGAGAUAGGUCGUCAUGUUUCUGAAAACAGUGGAAUUAGAAACAGCAAAAGAAACGGAUUAAGUACUGAAUGAAGUUGCUUCGAACGCUGAGCUUGCUUCUACAUCGAUGUGUCUACAAAAUAGACUUACUCGAAAAAGGGUUAUGUUAGAGUUCUGAUGUUGCCUUCUCAAUCAAACUUCCUUGCUUUAACUUUUUACAUGUGUCAGCUUUACGUGAAUGUUGAGUAAAUAAGGUUGUGGAUGUCUCUGAGCUGAACAAUGAAGGAUCUUGGGAAAUUUUGUGUUGGCUGUAUUCAAGACGGGGAUUCCCCGGAGAACGAAGAUGGAGGUUUUACAGUACGGCGGACUGCAGUGAUGACCACGUGCGUGCCUCAGGUCACCAACGAACUGGUGAGUACACAUGUCUGUAUGUGUGUGUUUGUGUUUGUGUGUGUAUGUCAAUGUGUGUGUGCGUAU